UGCCAGCAGCCGCGGUAAUACGGAGGGUGCAAGCGUUAAUCGGAAUUACUGGGCGUAAAGCGUGUGUAGGCGGUCUGCUAAGUCGGAUGUGAAAGCCCCGGGCUUAACCUGGGAAUUGCAUUCGAUACUGCAUGGCUAGAGUAUGGUAGAGGGAAGUGGAAUUCCGGGUGUAGCGGUGAAAUCCGUAGAUAUUCGGAGGAACACCAGUGGCGAAGGCGGCUUUCUGGACCAAUACUGACGCUGAGAUGCGAAAGCGUGGGGAGCGAACAGGAUUAGAUA
rnacentral:rRNA from 1 species